GCGUUGUCCGGCAUCAUUGGGCGUAAAGAGCGUGUAGGCGGCCCGAUAAGUCCGCUGUGCAAGUCCAAGGCUCAACCUUGGAAUGCCGGUGGAUACUGUCGGGCUCGAGUCCGGAAGAGGUGAGUGGAAUUCCUGGUGUAGCGGUGAAAUGCGCAGAUAUCAAGAGGAACACCAAUGGCGAAGGCAGCUCACUGGGACGGUACUGACGCUGAGGCGCGAAAGCGUG
rnacentral:rRNA from 1 species